UACGUAGGGGGCUAGCGUUGUCCGGAUUUAUUGGGCGUAAAGAGCGUGUAGGCGGCCAGGUAGGUCUGGUGUGAAAACUCGAGGCUUAACCUCGAGAUGUCAUCGGAAACCAUCUGGCUAGAGUCCGGAAGAGGAGAGUGGAAUUCCUGGUGUAGCGGUGAAAUGCGCAGAUAUCAGGAAGAACACCGAUGGCGAAGGCAGUGGGCUGGGCCGGUACUGACGCUGAGGAGCAAAAGCGUGGGGAGCGAACAGG
rnacentral:rRNA from 1 species